CCUACGGGAGGCUGCAGUGAGGAAUAUUGGUCAAUGGGCUUACGCCUGAACCAGCCAAGUCGCGUGAGGGAAGACUGCCCUAUGGGUUGUAAACCUCUUUUGUCAGGGAGCAAUUGGCGCUACGUGUAGCGUUAUCGAGAGUACCUGAAGAAAAAGCAUCGGCUAACUCCGUGCCAGCAGCCGCGGUAAUACGGAGGAUGCGAGCGUUAUCCGGAUUUAUUGGGUUUAAAGGGUGCGUAGGCGGAAUGCCAAGUCAGCGGGAAAAUCGCGGGGCUCAACUUCGCUCCGACGUUGAAACUGGCGUUCUUGAGUGGGCGAGAAGUAUGCGGAAUGCGUGGUGUAGCGGUGAAAUGCAUAGAUAUCACGCAGAACUCAGAUUGCGAAGGCAGCAUACCGGCGCCCAACUGACGCUGAAGCACGAAAGCGUGGGUAUCGAACAGGAUUAGAUACCCCUGUAGUC
rnacentral:rRNA from 1 species